rnacentral:rRNA from 1 species
UGAGGAAUAUUGGUCAAUGGGCGGGAGCCUGAACCAGCCAAGUCGCGUGAAGGAAGAAGGAUCUAUGGUUCGUAAACUUCUUUUGCAGGGGAAUAAAGUGCAGGACGUGUCCUGUUUUGUAUGUACCCUGAGAAUAAGGAUCGGCUAACUCCGUGCCAGCAGCCGCGGUAAUACGGAGGAUCCGAGCGUUAUCCGGAUUUAUUGGGUUUAAAGGGUGCGUAGGUGGUUUGAUAAGUCAGCGGUGAAAGUU